AGCGAACGCUGGCGGCGUGCCUAACACAUGCAAGUCGAACGUGAACGGCUUCGGCCUAGUAAAGUGGCGUACGGGUGAGUAACGCGUAGGUAAUCUACCCCAUAGUCUGGAAUAACCGACCGAAAGGUUGGCUAAUACUGGAUAGAGCGACGAAAUCCGUAAUUGGGUUUUUCGGGAAAGGGAGCUCGCAAGAGCCCUCGCUUUGGGAUGAGCCUGCGUCUCAUUAGCUAGUUGGUAAGGUAAUGGCUUACCAAGGCUUUGAUGGGUAGCUGGUCUGAGAGGAUGAUCAGCCACACUGGAACUGAAACACGGUCCAGACUCCUACGGGAGGCAGCAGUGGGGAAUCUUGCGCAAUGGACGAAAGUCUGACGCAGCCACGCCGCGUGAGUGAAGAAGGCCUUCGGGUUGUAAAGCUCUGUCGGGAGGGACGAACAUCCAUUGGGUUAACAGCCCAGUGGACUGACGGUACCUCCAAAGGAAGCACCGGCUAACUUCGUGCCAGCCGCCGCAGUAAAA
rnacentral:rRNA from 1 species